AAAGGCGGGGUACACCCUGGACCAUAGGCGGUUUUAAACGGGGGCCAGGGGGGGCCAGUGCCCCUGUAAAAUUGCUCCUGGCCCCUGUUGUGGCCCCUGUGCUGAAAGCUUUAUUAAUUUCGACGUGCGCUGGCUCGAAGAUCGGAACUGACAUGACGGAGUGUUCUACACGGACUCCUUAAAGCGCUACACGCACACUGUUACCUGCAGCAGAAAGACCAGCAGCAGUGCGAAUUGUAAACUUCGGACGUGAGAGAUAACAGCAGCUGCAGCCCUGCAAGAACUAGGCUAUUGCAAAGAGGCGAAGCAAAAAGCAACAUAGAGAGAGUAAGGAAGAUGAAGAUUAAGAAAGAGGAGAGAGAGCCAGAGGUGGAGAGAGAGCCAGAGGUGGAGAGAGAGCCAGAGGUGGUGGUUGGAGAGGUGGAAAGUGAGGCAUCUGAAAGGCAAUCUGAGAGUGAGGAUGAAGACAUUCAGGAUCAGAUUGAGGGACAGAAUGAGGGACAACCCAACGAGUCAUUGGGACAACCAGAUUCACCAUGCAUAUCAAGUACAGCACCAUCAGAUAUCAGCAAGUGCUUGGACGACACUCCAGUGCAGCCACAUCUGAAGAAAAGGUUCAUUGUAUGCAAAAAUAGAAAUCUUAUUUUACAAAAAAGAGAAACAUGGUUUUAAGAUUUAUUGAGCACAAUUUAUUUUAUGUUUAGGCUACUGAGACAGAAUGUUUAUCUCAUUGUAUUUAUGCUCAUUGUAUUUUGUUUUGGUUUUAACUAAACUAAACUAAACAUUUUGAAUGCUUAAAUAUUGCCAUGUUUUGUCCAUAUGUGCCCCCCUGAAAAAACACUGGCCCCACCUCGGCCCCCCUAGUAAUUUUGGUCUAGAACCGCCACUGCCCUGGACAAGUCGCCAGGUCAUCACAGGGCUGACACAUAGACACAUACAACCAUUCACACCUACGGUCAAUUUAGAGUCACCAGUUAACCUAACCUGCAUGUCUUUGGACUGUGGGGGAAACCGGAGCACCCGGAGGAAACCCGGAGUUUCUGGAACAGCAGACUCCUGAUAUUCUCCCCUGUUUUUGACACACCACUCUCGAAGGGAGCUGCGAGGUCAAAGUUGUUGUUUGUAUAAUGAAUGGUGCCAGAUAUGAAUGAAGACUUAUGGUAAUCCUCCGUCCAUAUAUCGGUUGUGAUGGCACAUCCAUACGUUUCGAUGAUGGGCUUUAUUUCUGCUGCCACUGACGCCUGCAGUGCUUGUGCUCGCCCCUCGACAUGUCUGGAUACAAUGGUUGGAUGAGGUAAAACAUCUUUAACAUCAAACUUGCCAUACUUAGCAGCAACAUUAGCAAAGUGUUGCAAUAUGUCAACAAAGCCUCUCCCGGCGACUAAAUCAUAUGGCCGUAUGUCUAGACAGCACACUUCCACACAUUUCUCUGUAGUUUCCUGUUUAAUGUGUGCAGGGAGAAAUUGUUUUUGAUUGAAAUGCAGCUUACUCUGACCUGGAAGGACAGAGCAGGUGUGACGCCUCAACCCAGAGGUGCCGGAUUUGUGUCCAUUGUAAAUUAGGAUUUUUGAGCAUUUGUCACAACGAACAUAGUCAAGUUCGUUGCCGUCUGCAUCGCACACAACUGAGAAAUUUUGCCAGAUAUCAGACUUUCCUUGUUUCGUUUUUGUACUGUACAAUCCUCGUUUCAGUUUAUUUUCUACAUCACUUGUUUGACUCAUGCUGUCGCUAGGCUAGUUUACGAUCCCGCAGUGUUUUACUAUGGCCGCCCAUUCCCGCCCGCAGCUAAGUGCAAACUGUCCGUUCCCGCGAGAUUUGCAUUGGGUCCCACGGGACCCAAUCCCAGUGCAGACCUCUACCACCAAUUAGCCUAACUGCAUGUCUUUGGACUGUGGGGGAAACCGGAGCACCCAGAGGAAACCCACGCAGACACGGGGAGAACAUGCAAACUCCACACAGAAAGGUCCCCAUCGGCCACUGUGCUCGAACCCAGAACCUUCUUGCCGUGAGGCGACCGUGCUAACCAUUAUACCACCGUGCCACCCUCAAUGAAAUACAAGUAAAUUUAGAAAUCAGUUUCCUUUUUUUUACUUGCAUUUUCCAUACCAUCCCAACUUUUUCUUUGCACCUGAUUGUGAUGUCAAAACAUACAUACACAUGCAUUUAAUGCCUAUUAUCAGUUUGGCUAUCACUGAGGUGAUUACUGCAGUCUGGGGAUGUGGGGGAUUACUUGCUGUAAGAAAGAAAAACUGCCAUUGUAUAGCCUUCCAAAGAAUAUAAACAUGGAUAUAAUGUUUUAUCUAUUAUAUUGGUAUGGAAAACUAGUCUCUGGUUAGGAGGUAGCACUAUCUGGGCUCUGGAUGCAUCACUAAUUUAUUUACCAAUCACGCUCUUUCCUUAGUCAUCAUGCCAAUAAAUGUAGUAUUUGCAUUCUUCUAGUUUGGUUUUAGAAUAACACUCUGCUCGAAACAUCCUGUAUAACUAAGGCUGUAAGUGUUGAGCAGAUGGCAUUAUUUUUCUUAUUGUUAUUUACAGUUUCCCAUAUUAUAUGGAGAAGUGUGGUAUCUCUUAUUUCAUGUCACCCCAUCAUAACAGAGGAUCUUCAAGAUACAGUAACAAAUGCAGAUUGUUUAUAAGGAAUUAAGAGGUUGGAAAUACACUACCGUUCAAAAGUUUGGGGUAACCCAGACAUUUUGUGUUUUCCAUGAAAAGUCACACUUUUAUUUACCACCAUAAGUUGUAAAAUGAAUAGAAAAUAUAGUCAAGACAUUUUUCUGGCCAUUUUGAGCAUUUAAUCGACCCCACAAAUGUGAUGCUCCAGAAACUCAAUCUGCUGAAAGGAAGAUCAGUUUAAUAGCUUCUCUAAAGAGCUAAACUGUUUUCAGCUGUGCUAACAUGAUUGUACAAGGGUUUUCUAAUCAUCCAUUAGCCUUCUGAGGCAAUGAGCAAAUACAUUGUACCAUUAGAACACUGGAGUGAUAGUUGCUGGAAAUGGGCCUCUAUACACCUAUGGAGAUAUUGCACCAAAAACCAGACAUUUGCAGCUAUAAUAGUCAUUUACCACAUUAGCAAUGUCUCAUCUCAUCUCAUUAUCUGUAGCCGCUUUAUCCUGUUCUACAGGGUCACAGGCAAGCUGGAGCCUAUCCCAGCUGACUACAGGCGAAAGGCGGGGUACACCCUGGACAAGUCGCCAGGUCAUCACAGGGCUGACACAUAGACACAGACAACCAUUCACACUCACAUUCACACCUACGGUCAAUUUAGAGUCACCAGUUAACCUAACCUGCAUGUCUUUGGAUUGUGGGGGAAACCGGAGCACCCGGAGGAAACCCACGCGGACACGGGGAGAACAUGCAAACUCCACACAGAAAGGCCCUCACCGGCCAUGGGGCUCGAACCCAGACCUUCUUGCUGUGAGGCAACAGUGCUAACCACUACACCACUGUGCCGCCCACAUUAGCAAUGUAUAGAGUGUAUUUCUGAUUAGUUUAAAGUGAUCUUCAUUGAAAAGAACAGUGCUUUUCUUUCAAAAAUAAGGAAAUUUCAAAGUGACCCCAAACUUUUGAACGGUAGUGUAUAUGCUUAG